rnacentral:rRNA from 1 species
UGGCUCAGAUUGAACGCUGGCGGCAGGCCUAACACAUGCAAGUCGAGCGCGAAAGCUCUUCGGAGUGAGUAGAGCGGCGGACGGGUGAGUAACGCGUAGGAAUCUACCCAGUAGUGGGGGACAACUCGGGGAAACUCGAGCUAAUACCGCAUACGCCCUGAGGGGGAAAGCGGGGGAUCUUCGGACCUCGCGCUAUUGGAAGAGCCUGCGUUGGAUUAGCUGGUUGGUGGGGUAAAGGCCUACCAAGGCGACGAUCCAUAGCUGGUCUGAGAGGAUGAUCAGCCACACCGGGACUGAGACACGGCCCGGACUCCUACGGGAGGCAGCAGUGGGGAAUAUUGCGCAAUGGGGGCAACCCUGACGCAGCCAUGCCGCGUGUGUGAAGAAGGCCUUCGGGUUGUAAAGCACUUUCACUUGGGAAGAAAGGUUCGUAGUUAAUACCUGCGAGCUGUGACAUUACCUUGAGAAGAAGCACCGGCUAACUCCGUGCCAGCAGCCGCGGUAAUACGGAGGGUGCGAGCGUUAAUCGGAAUUACUGGGCGUAAAGCGCGCGUAGGCGGUUUGUUAAGUCGGAUGUGAAAGCCCCGGGCUCAACCUGGGAAUUGCACCCGAUACUGGCCGACUGGAGUGCGAGAGAGGGAGGUAGAAUUCCACGUGUAGCGGUGAAAUGCGUAGAUAUGUGGAGGAAUACCGGUGGCGAAGGCGGCCUCCUGGCUCGACACUGACGCUGAGGUGCGAAAGCGUGGGGAGUAAACAGGAUUAGAUACCCUGGUAGUCCACGCCGUAAACGAUGUCUACUAGCCGUUGGGGAACUUGAGUCCUUGGUGGCGCAGUUAACGCGAUAAGUAGACCGCCUGGGGAGUACGGCCGCAAGGUUAAAACUCAAAUGAAUUGACGGGGGCCCGCACAAGCGGUGGAGCAUGUGGUUUAAUUCGAUGCAACGCGAAGAACCUUACCAGGCCUUGACAUCCUUGGAAUUCUGCAGAGAUGCGGGAGUGCCUUCGGGAAUCAAGUGACAGGUGCUGCAUGGCUGUCGUCAGCUCGUGUCGUGAGAUGUUGGGUUAAGUCCCGUAACGAGCGCAACCCUUGUCCUUAGUUGCCAGCGAUUCGGUCGGGAACUCUAAGGAGGCUGACGGUGACAAACCGUAGGAAGGUGGGGACGACGUCAAGUCAUCAUGGCCCUUACGGCCUGGGCUACACACGUGCUACAAUGGAACGCACAGAGGGCAGCGAACCCGCGAGGGGGAGCGAAUCCCAC